rnacentral:lncRNA from 1 species
UCCCACAUGCGUGUGUCUAUUAAAGAUGGAAAUGCAGAGAGUAUAUGAAGGAAUUAAUCAAAAAAAACUCAAUGAUCAAAACCUUGAUAUAGCUCUUUUUCUAUUAACAUGUGGUAUUACUCAAUAUACCCCAGGAUGGAAAUAUAUCUGAUAUUACUCAAAGAGUAGGCGAUGACAGAUACUCACUACAGUAAUCACCCUGUAAAAUAUCUACAAAAAUGGCCAUAUCUACAUGCAUCGGCGCAUUUGUCAUGCAAUGUGACAUGAAAUACCUAAGCAAGGUUUGGUACGAUAGAAACCAAAAGCAGGCCAUAGUAUUAGUCCCAGAUAACUUAUGUACACUGUUUUUCAUACUGCACAAUAGUAAACUACAUGAUUGACUAUUGGAUAUAUAACUUUGUCCACACGCCUUCAUCUGAUUUGCUCGAUAUAUAACUUUGUCCACACUAAUUCAUUUGAUUUGCUUGCAUGUUGUGACACACGGAUCUGCUAAAGGACAUAUCUUGUUAGGCAAACUGUUCAAACAGUGCGUCUCAUGGACAGGGAGAAAAUAAUUGGGUCUAUAUGAAGGAGAAUCACUCUGGAUAAUAUACAAUGACCUGGAUACAGUGUAGCCUCUUUAACAUAAAAGAAUAUAAAAGAUAAAAUUAAAAUUAUUUUAGUAUUCUACAUGGCCUACAAUAUGCAAAGGUGAGUCUGGUUAUCAUUCAGUAAGUUAACAAAAAUAUAAGCUCAGUUGGCAACUCUCUCUGAACAAAUCAUGCAGCAAUAAUAGUGACAACAAAGCAAUUAACUACAUGAAGGUCAUAUAAAAAACAGAGUUUAAAUCAUCACACUGUCUGGAUCAAAAUAUUACUACUCAUUUACUACUAUCUCUAAGCAUCUACAAACCCUAUAUCAGUGUUUACAUCUGUGAGUACUUCCUUUGAUUACAAAAAUUACGGAGUCACACUGAUCAUUUUUUUGCAGCAGUCCAGUAAAACCAAAGAGGGGACAUGACGUAUAUCAGCUGACCUAUGCAAGUGCUCGGAGAUGGCUGUUAGUGGAACCAGCUGAACCUAGCAAGCCAUGAACCUAGAUCUCUUCGUCAGCCAUCGCGACCUAAACAGAUCCAAGAAAUUUCACAGAGUAGCUCAAAGCUCGACGCAUAACUUUGGCAAAAACGAAUGGACCAAAAACACAGAGUCUGAUAGAUAAAAAAUAGAGCAAGUCAUUUAUAUACAAAGCAAGACACUCACAGGUCAUUCAUAAUAGUUAGAUCAAGUCAUUUGUACAGAAAAAUCUGAAGGUUGAGUAGUGCAUUAGAGGGUAGCCGCAUAGUGCAGGAAACAUACAUUAGAGGGUAGCCGCGCAGUGCAGAAAACAUAUCCCACUGCUAUGGACAGAAGUGUAGAACAUCACAAUCCACUCAUUUUGUUCUGUGAGUACAUCCUUCAACGAUAAAAGUAUCUACAAAUUCCAAGGUGGUCCAACAUGAUAUAAAGUGUGGUCAACUUGAGUCGUCAAAAAUGAUUUAGAGACAACAUAAGUGGUUGAAAUAUAUAUAAGAAACAAAAAAAGUACAUGCGAACGACAACACACAAAUUCCAAUUGGAUUUCUUGCACAAACAGAAAUGCAGGAUACAAAGCCGAAGUUGAUAACUUUCGGCAAACCUUGAUAUAGGUGGACGAAUCCAAUAAUAACUUAAAACUUUGACAACAUAUUCUGCUUGGUUUCUUUAUAAUUCUUUUUAACAUGAGAAUGCAAGAAACUCAUUUCCUUGUGAAACCUCAGACGGUUGAUGGAUACCCCAUGGAGUAAGAUCCUUAUAUAUGGCAUGUCACUUUUGUUGUUGCUAGAAACCCGUAUCAUUUCCACUCUCUUUUCAAUGAAAUGAAAUGCAAAGGUCCUUUGCGUUUUCUUAAAAAAAACUUAACAGAAGUUGCAGAAUAUAUAAUGUGUAGAGCCACACACAGCAAAAGUUAUCUCUAGUUACAACUUCUAAGCACUAUUAUCUCUGAAUGCCUAGCUGUUGGCUGCAGUAUAGAUAAAGUUCGGCAAGUAUGAAACACACAUGGUACUGAGCUGCUGAUAACUACAAGAAAGUUAAGUAAGUGGCUUGCCUGUAGACGACUUGCAACAUUUUCCCUAGUGAGUUUUUCAACAUUCAUGAGGUCAAGUAUCCUUUUCGGCACACCUUCUGCAUAAACAUGAAAGAAUAGUGAGAAAAAAAGUUACUCCAGAAAAAAGUAGCUACAGAGAAGGAAGGUAAGUUCUUGCUGUCAAUUCCAAGAUGGUUGACAGCAUAGAUGAAUUUUAUAUGUAGUUCAACGGAUCAAACAACAUGCUGCCAGAUAUUCCUAAGCUCCUCGAUGCGAACGGGUUUUAGGAGAUAGUUGCAGGCACCAUGAGUUAUCUCCUGCAUUACAGUUUUUGUUUCUCCAUUCACAGAUAACACUACAUGGAAAAUAAUUGGUUAGCACUGACAUUUUUGCUUCCUCAAUCAGAAGUACAAAUCAUAAGAUUCGCUGUGCUGAAUUCACAUUUUGCAUAUAAAAGAAUAUACAUCCAACAACUUUAUAGCAAGGACUUGCUUACAGUCAAACCUGUCAAGAUUACAACGUGCAGCCAUAUUACAACGUAUCACCUAAUUUAGAGCCACGUGCAUGACUGAACAAACAAUGAAAAAUCACAAUACAUAUACUUAAGAGUAUAUAAAGGUUGCUCACUGUAUUGCACCAUACAAGGUAUAAAAACAGAAUUGCAGAGCACUUGCAGACUUGUAUUGUAUCAAACUACAGACUUGGAGGAGGAGGGGCACUUGUGCAUACAUGUUCAUUUCAGAGCCGUCAUCGUCGAUGGGCUAGACUUGGAAGAGGAGGAGGAGUCGUCGUCGAUCAAAAAAUUAAGAAUUUGCAAUGGUUCAGAACUCAAUGAUCUAGUAAUUUGUUUAAAACUACUGAAUUUGUUUAAAACUUACAGAUGCAAUGGUCAGAACUUAAUAGUUCGGAACUCUACUGAAUUUGUUUAAAACUUACUCCACAACAUAAAUGAUUACAACAGAUUUACAAAACAGAGAGACCAUAGUACAGAACAGAGUUUUAAAAACUCAGUUUUAAAUUGUGAAACAGCAGCUUAAUGCAGCAGGACCAUUCAACAUUCAGUUUUGACCAAAACUGAGAUGGAGCAGUUGUGGAGUACCUUCAGGCUAGAGCAGGGGUGGAGGGGCGUCCUCCAUGGCAUCGGGGGCACGAACCGGAGCAGGGGUGGAGCAGCGUCCUCCAUGGCGUCGGUGUUCGGGUGCCUGAGCGAGCUACAGAGCUGCGCGGUGGGGAUCUGGGAGGGAGAUAGGAUGGGGUGAGGAAGAUACGAUGGGAUGUGGAUGAGUGGAGGGACUUACAGGAUCCUCGCUGGAGCUGAAGUACGCUGUAGAAGCCCUCCUCGUCGUCUCCAGUUAUCUGCCCGCGCUCCAGGCACAACCGCGCAGUUCCGCCUUAGGUCGUGUAGCUAUCCUGCUCUUCCGCGCGUCUCCGCUGCUCUCUCCUGCCUGCUCCCCUGCACCGACUCGCCUGCCUCCUCGCAUCCCACCUCGUGCGGUGCGGGGCGGCCGACCGGGCGAAGGAGAUGACGGCGGCGGGGCAGGAAGGCCGGUGCGGGGCUAGGGUUUGGAUGGGGAGAGAGGGAUGAGGUGGGAGGAAGAGGAGAGGGGGCGGCUGCUUGGUGGCGGGCUUCGACUCUUGGGCGACGGGCGGGGACUGCUGCUUCUGCGGCAGGGAGGGGCGAUGGGGAGGAGAAGGCGCGGGACGGGGAGGAUGGCUGGCGGCAGCGGGGAGGAAGGGAGAGUGGGCUCGAGGGGAACGAC